rnacentral:lncRNA from 1 species
UGGGUGGGGCUGGAUGAAUGUUUGGGCACAGGCAGCAGCUGUCACAUGGCCUGGCUGUGGGUUUGGGACGGAAACCAGGUAGGUGUGCCGUAUCAGGCACAGCUACAAACUGUGCCAAGGAAACAGUCAGAGCAGGGGCCCGGGGAAACUUCUGCCUUGGCAGAAGAUUAGGAACCCUCCCUUAUUAUCUCACUGAAGGAGAAUGCUGGAUGGUGCUACAAAGAAGGCAAUCUAAGGACUCCAGAACUGAAGUGGCACUGCAUGUCACUUCCCUAACUCAACUGAAAAAGCAGACAAAAACCUAGCGUUUUCUACCCUCAAGCCAGCAAGAAACACAGUCCAGAUCUGAGAGUCCCUGAGAACCCAGAGACAACACAGAGGCAGCAGGACAUGAACAGGAGAGUCCCGGCAUCAGUUCCUGGCCAUAGAAUCCCUCCUGAGCAGCAGGCAGGACAGAACCCCUUUCAGCAAUCAGCCUGCCGGAGAAGCCUCUGCCCCUGUGGUGUGAGGAUCCACUUCCCCCAGGUGACACCAUGGGCAGGUGGGCUGAAGAAGUGGGAAGGCCAAAUCGACUGGCCCAGGAGGAUGCCUCUUUGAUGAUACAGGUGACACAGGUCUAAGCCUCCCUUCUUCCACAGGAGAAACUAGGUGGCCCAGAGGCUGCCCAGAGGUAGGGGAUCUGCCACAGCAGCCACCCUCCUGGGAGGUUCCCUUUCUUCUCCUUGAUGAACUCCCUCCAACACACACCUUCCCAGGAAAGCACCCUUUAUCUUGCAUGGGAAGGGGAUCCCACCACACCAAAACCCAGCCAAAGAAGCCUUUUGUUCCUUAAGGGAUAAGUUAUCAAAACAAACACAAGCAAAAAGACACACAACUAGUCACCCCCUAAAUUCUGUUAAGAAUGAGACAAUGCUGCCACUCACUCCUGGCUCAGGCACCAGCAGGAGGAGGACACCCUCCAGAAACUGCAGAAGAAAGGGGAGGACUCCUCCUUGCCCUGGCUGCACCUCCACCACUGUCACUGAGGCCUGCAGUACAGAACCAGCAGCUUCCUACACACCCCAGGCCAGGCCAGGCCCCAAAGCUCUCCUACUCCCCCUUCCCGGCCCCCAGACUUGCUGCUGUUACCACUAUUACCGCCGAUGCCAACACAACCAGUGCUUCUGUCACCUUCCAUGCACCCACCCACCCUCCAGGGCUCCUUCCACCUGGCCUCCACGGGCA